UACGAAGGGGGGCUAGCGUUGCUCGGAAUUACUGGGCGUAAAGAGCUCGUAGGUGGUUUGUCGCGUUGUCCGUGAAAACUCACAGCUUAACUGUGGGCGUGCGGGCGAUACGGGCAGACGUGGAGUACUGCAGGGGAGACUGGAAUUCCUGGUGUAGCGGUGGAAUGCGCAGAUAUCAGGAGGAACACCGGUGGCGAAGGCGGGUCUCUGGGCAGUAAACUGACG
rnacentral:rRNA from 1 species